UGGGAAUUUUGGACGAAUUGGGCGAAAGCCUGAUCCAGCAAUGCCGCGUGUGUGAAGAAGGCCUUCGGGUUGUAAAGCACUUUUUGUCCGGAAAGAAAUCCUUGGCUCUAAUACAGUCGGGGGAUGACGGUACCGGAAGAAUAAGCACCGGCUAACUACGUGCCAGCAGCCGCGGUAAUACGUAGGGUGCAAGCGUUAAUCGGAAUUACUGGGCGUAAAGCGUGCGCAGGCGGUUUGCUAAGACCGAUGUGAAAUCCCCGGGCUCAACCUGGGAACUGCAUUGGUGACUGGCAGGCUAGAGUAUGGCAGAGGGGGGUAGAAUUCCACGUGUAGCAGUGAAAUGCGUAGAGAUGUGGAGGAAUACCGAUGGCGAAGGCAGCCCCCUGG
rnacentral:rRNA from 1 species